CAUAUACAUCUCUAUAAUCAAGAUAGCCUCAUUGCUUGUGUUCUGCCAUACCACGAGACGAGAAUAUUUGUGCGAGUCAUACAGCUUCUAAAAAUUAAUAAUUCAAAGCACAAAUGGUUCUGGUUGUUGCCAGUUAAGCAAUCUGGAGUGCCGUUAGCUAAAGGAACUUUGAUUACCCACUGCUACAAAGAUCUUGGAUUCAUGGAUUUCAUUUGCAGUUUGGUGACAAAAUCUGUGAAGGUUUUUGCUGAGUACCCGGGCAGCUCAGCUCAGUUGAGGGUGCUCUUGGCUUUCUAUGCUUCUACCAUAGUGUCGGCGCUGGUAGCUGCAGAGGAUGUAUCAGACAAUAUCAUCGCCAAACUAUUUCCCUAUAUCCAGAAGGGAUUGAAAUCAUCUUUACCAGAUUACAGAGCUGCAACAUACAUGAUAGUAUGUCAGAUUUCUGUGAAAGUGACCAUGGAAGAUACCUUUGUGAAUUCAUUGGCAUCACAGAUCAUCAAAACAUUGACCAAGAUUCCCUCUUUGAUCAAGGAUGGAUUAAGUUGCUUGAUAGUGCUCCUGCAGAGACAGAAGCCAGAGAGCCUUGGGAAAAAGUAUGUACAAUUGAGUUGAGAAAUGGUGCUAGUCAGAGGUGAAUAAAAUUAUUUUGAAUAA
rnacentral:sRNA from 1 species